AACGAACGCUGGCGGCAUGCCUAACACAUGCAAGUCGAACGAGAUCUUCGGGUCUAGUGGCGCACGGGUGCGUAACGCGUGGGAAUCUGCCCUUUGGUUCGGAAUAACAGUUGGAAACGACUGCUAAUACCGGAUGAUGACGAAAGUCCUAAGAUUUAUCGCCAGAGGAUGAGCCCGCGUAGGAUUAGCUAGUUGGUGUGGUAAAGGCGCACGGAGGCGGCGACCCUUAGCUGGUCUGAGAGGAUGAUCAGCCACACUGGGACUGAGACACGGCCCAGACUCCUACGGGAGGCAGCAGUGGGGAAUAUUGGACAAUGGGCGAAAGCCUGAUCCAGCAAUGCCGCGUGAGUGACGAAGGCCUUAGGGCUGUAAAGCUCUUUUACCCGGGAUGAUAAUGACAGUACCGGGAGAAUAAGCUCCGGCUAACUCCGUGCCAGCCGCCGCAGUAA
rnacentral:rRNA from 1 species